rfam:Picea glauca, whole genome shotgun sequence.
AUGUACAUUCCUACAACAUAGUGUUAAUGCAUUGGAUCCCAUUAGAACUCCACAGUUAAGCGUGCUCGGGUUAGAGUAGUACUGGGAUGGGUGACCGCCUGGGAAAUACUAGUAUUUUACAUG